UGGUGGAAUUGGCAGUGUUGAGUUAAUGGCUGGACUCGAUGGUCUUAGAGGGUUUUCCAGCUAAAAUUUCAUGUUUUUAUGGAU